rnacentral:rRNA from 1 species
AUGGCAGCAGUGAGCAUCUCUCCAGCUCUCCACCUCCUGCCUCUCCUCCUCUUGUUUCUCCUUGUCACCAAUGAGGGAGCCACAUUAAACAUCACCAACCAAUGCUCCUACACCGUGUGGCCGGCUGUUGUGCCGGUGGAUGGCGGCAUGCAGCUUGAUCCGGGCAAGUGGUGGACAUUGGAUAUGCCUGCUGGCACGGCUGGUGGUCAUGUGUGGGCGCGAACGGGCUGCAUAUUUGAUGCCAAAAGGAAUGGCUCAUGCCAAACGGGCGACUCUGGCGGUGUGCGAGGAACGAUCAGCCACCCAACACGGUGGCUGAGUUUGCACUCGGACAGUACAACAAUACGAAUGACUUCAACAUCUCCCUCGUCCUCGGCUUCAACAUGCCCAUGGAAUUUCUGUCGAUGCUAG